GUCUAAUUCAAUUUCCAAGAAGCCUCGUCAUAGUUGGAAGAAAAAACAUAGAUCUGAAGACUAUGCUGGCAGUGAUUUGAGUUUGCAUGCUUUAAGUACAAAAGAUGAGGUAGGUUGUAAUGACACUACUAUCAACAUUCCUAUAACUCAUGUUGAGUCUGGGAAGACUGGCCAAAGUUUUAGAGUUGGAGAUCGCAUUCAAAAGGUUGCUUACAAAU
rnacentral:misc_RNA from 1 species